AAGUUGUUGCGGUUAAAAGCUCGUAGUUGGAUUUCUGUUGGGUAUCGCGUGGUCUGCUCCUCGAGUACGUAUCUGCGUCGAUCCUGGCAUCCUCGCAACGCUCUGUGGCAUUAAUUUGCUGCUUGGCUUGCGACUUUUACUUUGAGGAAAUUAGAGUGUUCACGGCAGGCAUUUGCGUUGAAUAUAUUAGCAUGGAAUAAUAACAUAGGACUUCGGUUUUAUUUUGUUGGUUUCUAAGGCUGAAGUAAGGAUUAAUAGGGACAAUUGGGGGCACUCGUACAAAUCCGUCAGAGGCGGAAUUCUUGUAUUGGAUUUUGACGAACUACUGCGAAAGCAUUUGCCAAGGAUGUUUUCAUUGAUCAAGAAC
rnacentral:rRNA from 1 species